rnacentral:ncRNA from 1 species
CGGAGGUAACCUUUGGAAGAUCACAUAUAUAGGGAGCCUGAGAAAGGGCUACCACAUCCAAGGAAGGCAGCAGGCGCGCAAAUUACCCACUCCCGACCCGGGGAGUUAGUGA